CGCAUCUGUGCAUGCAGCAUAUCAAUAAGCGGAGGAAAAGAAACUAACAAGGAUUCCCUCAGUAACGGCGAGUGAAGCGGGAAGAGCUCAAAUUUGAAAUCUUGAAAGGUCACCUUUCACGAAUUGUAGUUUAAAGAAGUGUUUUCUGUUACGAUCGUAAUAUAAGUUCUUUGGAAUAGGACAUCACAGAGGGUGAGAAUCCCGUCUAUGAUUGCGAUUUGUAGCUUUGUGAUACACUUUCAAAGAGUCGGGUUGUUUGGGAAUGCAGCCCAAAAUGGGUGGUAAAUUUCAUCUAAAGCUAAAUAUUGGCGAGAGACCGAUAGCGAACAAGUACCGUGAGGGAAGGAUGAAAAGAACUUUGAAAAGAGAGUUAAACAGUACGUGAAAUUGUCAAAAGGGAAGCGUUUGACACCAGUGUUGUUUUUCUGAAAAUCAAUUAAAGAACUGUUUAUGCUAAGUUGUUUAGACUUUAUCAGCUAACUGUUUAGUUUUGAGCUUUUCUUUAAUGCACUUUUCAGUUAACAAGUCAACAUCAAUUUCUUUUGCUGUAAAAAAGCUUGAGGAAGGUGGCUUGGGAUUCGUCUUAAGUGUUUAUAGCCUCUUGCCUAUGCAGUCGGAGAGAUUGAGGUCUGCAGCGUAGAUCCUUCGGGGCUAAAUGCAUUUGUGCUAAGUUAUAGCAUUUUAUAGACAACUUGUUGACUAUGAUUUGUCUUGUAGCUUACUCGCUUAUGUUAUUUUACCUACGCUUAGGAUGUUGAAGUCAUCGUAUCGCGC
rnacentral:rRNA from 1 species